ACUGGCUCAAAGAAGAUUCUAACUAUCUCAGUCACUGUGACCAGAGAAAUAAUAGGUCAAAUUCACUCUCCUGACUCAGAGGGUGAUAAAAAAGGGCACAAUUCUCUGACCUGCAACCCCACCUCCGAUUAUCACAUCUAAGAGAAGGGGGGAGGCAGGCAGAGAGAAUCUUAAGCAGGAUCCAUGCCCAGUGCAGAGCUUAAUGGGGAGGCUAAAUCUCACAACCCUUGGGCAAAAUAAAGAUUUGGAUACUUAACUAAGCACACAGUGAGAGAGAGGCACAGACACAGGCAGAGGGAGAAGCAGGCUCCAUGCACCGGG